GGGCGCAUGGUUUAGUGGUAUAAUUCCUCUUUAGCAUCUAAUUUAGAGGCGGUCCCUGGUUCGAUUCCUGGUGUGUCCA